CGGUUGAGCUGGAGCUGUGGUUGGAGGAGUUUGAGGUGGUUGAGGUGGUGGAGUUUGUGGCGGUGGGACGGUUUGGCUUGUAGCUGGUGCAACAGUGGGAGGGGGAGUUGUUGCAGGUGGUUGAGCUGGCGCGAUGGGCGUGGUGGAAGGUGGAGGCGUUGCUGUUGAAGGAGGUGGUGCUGAAGUUGUAGGUGGAGGGGUUGUUGAAGGAGGUGGUGCGGAAGUUGUAGGUGGUGGCGAAGUUGAAGGUGGAGUGGUGGUGGUGGUGGUUGGCGUACUGGAAGGUGAGGCAGCUGGUGUUUGUGCACUCGUAAUGGCUAGUUGAAGGGUGAGAGUAGUUACAAUGAGAGCCCAAAACAUGAAAGCCAUUUUGUUAGAGAUGGGGAAUAGCAUUUGCAAGCAACAAUAUAUAAACACUAAACAACCAGCAAUUCUCAAA
rnacentral:lncRNA from 1 species